rnacentral:rRNA from 1 species
GAUUGAGUGUUCCGGUGAAUUAUUCGGACCGCUCCGUGUCGCGUUUCGUGUCCGGAAUGGGAAGUUUUGUGAACCUCAACACUUAGAGGAAGGAGAAGUCGUAACAAGGUUUCCGUAGGUGAACCUGCGGAAGGAUC